rnacentral:rRNA from 1 species
ACUGAACGCUGGCGGCAGGCCUAACACAUGCAAGUCGAACGAGUGGCGGACUGGAGUGUAAUGUCUGGGAAACUGCCCGAUGGAGGCGGCUAACUACUGGAAACUGUAGCUAAUACCGCAUACCAUCGGAUGUGCCUAGAUGGGAUUAGCUAGUAGGUGGGGUAAUGGCGCACCUAGGCGACGAGCCCUAGCUGGUCUGAGAGGCUGACCAGCCACACUGGAACUGAGACACGGUCCAGACUCCUACGGGAGGCAGCAGUGGGGAAUAUUGCACAAUGGGCGCAAGCCUGAUACAGCCAUGCCGCGUGUAUGAAGAAGGCCGUCGGGUUGUAAAGUACUUUCAGCGAGGAGGCGUUACUCGCAGAAGAAGCACCGGCUAACUCCGUGCCAGCAGCCGCGGUAAUUC